GACGAACGCUGGCGGCGUGCUUAACACAUGCAAGUCGAACGGUGAAAGCGGAGCUUGCUCCGCUGGAUCAGUGGCGAACGGGUGAGUAACACGUGGGCAACCCGCCCCUCACUUCGGGAUAACUCCGGGAAACCGGGGCUAAUACCGGAUAUGACCUCCUUGGGCAUCCUUGGGGGUGGAAAGUUUUUCGGUGAGGGAUGGGCCCGCGGCCUAUCAGCUUGUUGGUGAGGUAGUGGCUCACCAAGGCGACGACGGGUAGCCGGCCUGGGAGGGCGACCGGCCACACUGGGACUGAGACACGGCCCAGACUCCUACGGGAGGCAGCAGUGGGGAAUAUUGCGCAAUGGGCGAAAGCCUGACGCAGCAACGCCGCGUGCGGGAUGACGGCCUUCGGGUUGUAAACCGCUUUCAGCAGGGCAGAAGCCGCAAGGUGACGGUACCUGCAGAAGAAGCACCGGCUAACUACGUGCCAGCCGCCGCCGUAA
rnacentral:rRNA from 1 species